UUCAGAAGAGUGAUCCUGGCUGCCUCGGCCAGGCCCCUGCUCACUGCUUCCCUUGGGUCUGGAAGACGCAGGGUGCCCACUUCUCAGGCCGUGUGGUUUGUAGGCCCCUGAACUGCUCCUGAGAGGCCAAGGGGGUGCCCGGUGCUGGGGUCCCCCCACGUGCCGGUGCCAGUGGGCACCUCUGAGUCAAGGAGGGCCCUGGUGAUCCCCAAUUCCGGGUGGAGUAGGGCUGGUCGGAGUCACCAGUGGAUGUUGUGGAAACGACGGCAGGGACUUCCCAGGAUAGGCCGUCGGGACGCCGCGGCUCCACCGGCCCUGGCCACUCUCUCUGGAGGAAGCAGAACUGAGGCCUCCAGCCCACAGCCACGGAGGAGCCCCCACUUCCCGUCAGGCUGACAGACAGAGCCACCAGCCGAGCUGCUCUGAGACCCAGACCUACAGGAGGGCCAGCUCCUCUCCUGGGGCCGUGCUUUCACUCUCUCAGUCUUGGGGUCACUUGCUCCGUGGGAAUAGGGAGCUACAGCAGAUGUUAUCCUCCCGGGAAACUGAGGCCCGGGGGUGACAUGACUUACACACCGAACACGCUCAGAAGAAUCGGGGCCUGGAUUCGGGCUGGGUCCCUGGGUGCUGAGCUGCCCUCACACAGGACCCUGCAGCCGCGCUGGAGUUCCGGGGUCCUUGUCAGACACUCGGUGACGUCUGGAGGCCUCUCCCUGGCCACGUCGGGCCCAGCGGCCUGGUCUCGUGUCCGAAGGCCAUGCAGCUCCCCGCAUGUGUGUGGAAGAGCUGUGCGGGUCAGGAGGCCAGGCCGCCUUUGGAAAGCGGGUGGUCCUGAGUCCCGGGAUCUCUCAGGAGACAGAGUGGGGCUGGGCCGGGCCAGACCCCGAGGUCUGCGGAUGGAAAGCGUUUCUGGGCUCCAAAGGCUGCCUCUCUCCAUGGCAUGCAUCUGCCUCUGCCCACAUCAGCUUUGCCAGAGGGAACCUGGUGGGGAGGACAGACUUACUUAUAACCUGUUAUCUGUGGCAGAGCCGUGUCCCCAUCGCCAAGGGCUGGACUCAACCCGGAGCCUGACCCAGCACUGAGUUCUGCAUGAGGGUGGGCACUGCUUAAGCAUCUCCUGGUGGGCUUCUCCGUCCCGGAGCUUAUUAGGGUAACUUUGGAGCAGAAAUGACCUGGGCGGAUUCACGUCUGAAAGGAUCACUAAUUAGCUGUGCAGACUGGGGGCGCUGGAGGAGGUGGGGGGGUGCACAGGAUAAAGGGCAGGGGUGGGGCUGGGGCCAGCUCAGUGGCAUGGACUGGGGCCUGGUCAGGUUUCAGAGACGUUUUGAGGGCUGAGUUGACAAGGUUUCCUACCAGCUCAGACGAUCCGUGAGAGAGAGAGCUCCCGGUCGGCUCUGAGACUCCUGGUCCCAGCAGCGGGGGGGAUGGUACCCCCGGGAACCCAGAGCACCCUGUGCAGCCCUCUCCAUCACCGGCGGUGGGACACCGGCUGCGUCCGGCCACACGCCCAGCUCCGUGCUGAACACGUCUCGGGCAUCACCUUUAACAUCUCGAAUCUACUUCUGCUGUAUUACCCACUCUGUCUUUGAGGCCAACAGAGCUCAGAGAGGGGAAGCACUUGCCAAACGUUGCACAGCCGACAGGGGUGGAGCUGUCCUCGAACCUAGGACUGGCUCCCCGGGCCCUGGGCCUGGGCUCUGUCCUGCCUACGAUGUGACUGCCCCCGAGGCCCCACGGCGGGGGGCGCGUGGAGGUGUCCAGAGGCUGCGGGGCCUCCUCCACAGCCCAGGGGUGCCCGCAGGUCACAGCAGGACAAGGAUGCGACUAUCUGGCGUACUUUGCUCUCUCCUGUUGAGAAAAACAGCUGCAGACGAAGAGGCCCCCUCCAGCCGUCUCAGGCCGGGCCCCAGCCACCUCCCCUCAAAAGGGCAGCCGCAUGUCCAAAGGGAGAAGGAGGUAGUCAGUAUCACUCUGAGCAGAGGCUGACGGAGGAGCGCCUUCUCGCAGCCACAGAUCGUGCACAAGACUUGGGGGGAGGCCUCCUCCGUUCUUGCUGCCUCCUUCCUUGCCACCCUAUUUCCCCCUCCCCCUCU